CCUACGGGGGGCUGCAGUGGGGAAUAUUGGACAAUGGGCGAAAGCCUGAUCCAGCCAUGCCGCGUGUGUGAAGAAGGCCUUCGGGUUGUAAAGCACUUUCAGUGGGGAAGAAAGCCUUGGGGCUAAUACCCUCGAGGAAGGACAUCACCCACAGAAGAAGCACCGGCUAACUCCGUGCCAGCAGCCGCGGUAAUACGGAGGGUGCGAGCGUUAAUCGGAAUUACUGGGCGUAAAGCGCGCGUAGGCGGUCUGAUAAGCCGGUUGUGAAAGCCCCGGGCUCAACCUGGGAACGGCAUCCGGAACUGUCAGGCUAGAGUGCAGGAGAGGAAGGUGGAAUUCCCGGUGUAGCGGUGAAAUGCGUAGAGAUCGGGAGGAAUACCAGUGGCGAAGGCGACCUUCUGGACUGACACUGACGCUGAGGUGCGAAAGCGUGGGUAGCAAACAGGAUUAGAUACCCCAGUAGUC
rnacentral:rRNA from 1 species